rnacentral:rRNA from 1 species
CCUACGGGAGGCAACAGUGAGGAAUAUUGGUCAAUGACCGAGAGGCUGAACCAGCCAAGUCGCGUGAGGGAAGACGGCCCUACGGGUUGUAAACCUCUUUUGUCGGGGAGCAAAGAGAGUCACGUGUGACUCAUUGAGAGUACCCGAAGAAAAAGCAUCGGCUAACUCCGUGCCAUCAGCCGCGGUAAUACGGAGGAUGCGAGCGUUAUCCGGAUUUAUUGGGUUUAAAGCGUGCGCAGGCGGAGGUGCAAGUCAGCGGUAAAAUUUCGGGGCUCAACCCCGGACUGCCGUUGAAACUGCAUCCCUUGAGUGCGCGAGAGGUAUGCGGAAUGCGUGGUGUAGCGGUGAAAUGCAUAGAUAUCACGCAGAACUCCGAUGGCGAAGGCAGCAUACCGGCGCGCAACUGACGCUCAUGCACGAAAGCGUGGGUAUCGAACAGGAUUAGAUACCCUUGUAGUC